rnacentral:rRNA from 1 species
GUGCCAGCCGCCGCGGUAAUACGGAGGGGGCCAGCGUUGUUCGGAAUCAUUGGGCGUAAAGGGCGCGUAGGCGGCCGAUCAAGUCGAACGUGAAAUCUCCCGGCUCAACCGGGAACCUGCGUCCGAUACUGUUCGGCUCGAGUCCCGGAGAGGGUAGUGGAAUUCCCAGUGUAGCGGUGAAAUGCGUAGAUACUGGGAGGAACACCGGUGGCGAAGGCGGCUACCUGGACGGGUACUGACGCUGAGGCGCGAGAGCUGGGGGAGCAAACAGGAUUAGAUACCCUCGUAGUCC